UCAGCGGAGAGGCCGCCCUCACCUAGAUAAAGGUUCUCCAAAAUGUAAUCACUGGGCAAAAGUGCAAAUGCUUAAAAAACAUUGACAUAAUGCCAUUCAGAAGAUGGAAAACUCUGCUUUGCAGUGUCUACAGGUCCACAGAGAGAAAGGCACACUGUGAAUGAGGAGAGAUGAAUCCUGGAGGUUGUUCAGAGUCAACUGCCACCAUGCCACCACUGAGCGCCAGUCUCAGCCUGAAUUCAGCGCCGCCUGUGCACCUGCCUUUGUGCAUGUCCCGUCAUGGUGUUCACUGUGGGAAAAACAGAGACCUGGGCUGAUUCAGGCUCCUCUACCUAACACCGAGCGAAGGUGUCUCUCUCCGUUGCCCAGGCUUGACUGAUAUCAUUGUAAGAAGAAGAGAUUAGAACACACAGAGACACCAGGGCACGCAUGCACAGAGGAAGGACUAUGUGUAAAGGCAGCAAGAGGGUGGCCGUCUGCAAGCCAACGAGAGAGGCCUCAAAGGAAACUCACCCUGCUGACGCCUUGAUUGCAGACCUCCAGCCUCCAGAACCACAAGCAAAUAAAUGCCUCUAAGCCACCUAGUCUGUGGUCCUUUGUUAUGGCAGCCCCAGCAAACCAAUACACAUCUCUAUGCUGAAAAUCGCAGAUCCAAGGCCCCAGCCCACAUUGCUGUGCUCAACCCUAGACCUGAAUACCCAACAGCCUUCAUUACAGCCACAAGCAAAAACUUCACAGGGAUAAGCAGAGCUGCAGACGGAGGAAUUGACUAGGGUGGGAGGAUAUAGGUGUGGCGAGAUGAGAGAGGACAGUAGUGCCCCUUAUCAAGGAGGGAUAUGUUUCUAGACCUCCCGGUGGAUGCCUGAAACUGAGGCUGGUAUGGAACCCUAUGUAUACAAUGUUUUUUCAUAUGAUAGAGUAUCACUUAUAAAUUAGUUGCUAUAAGAGAUUAACAACAAUAACUACUAAUAAUAAAAUAGAAUGCUUCUUACAAAAUGUCAGUACCACUACUCUUGCACUUUGGGGCCAUUAUUCAGUAAAGUAAGGUUGACUAGAACACAGCACUGCCUCACUGCCACAGUCGAUCUGAUAACUGGGAUGGCUGCUGAGUGACUAAGGCAGGGGUAGAGUAUACAAUGUGGCAAUGCUGGACAGAGGGAUGAUUCACUUCCUGGACAGUACAGAGUGGGAUGGCAAGCUAUUUUAUUACACUACUCAGAAGAGUAUGCAGUUUAAAACUUAUGAAUUGUUUAUUUCCGGAAUUUUCCAUUAAAUAUUUUUGGAUUACUGUUGGCCACAAGUAACUAAAACCAGGGAAAGCAGAACCUCAGAUAUUGGGGGGGCGGACUCUGUAAAGGGGAAGAAGUCUGAACAGACAGGUUGUGUUGGGAUAGCAAAGCACUAAGAAGCAGCAGGUUUUCUGAAGACCACCGACGAUUCGGAAGCUGCAUUUUGGAAAGAUUAAUAUGGGAGUGUUCUCUUCCCUUAUUAGGAGCAAUUACCAUGACUUAAGAAUGUUUUGUUGUUGUAUUUCAAUCUUGAAUCCCUCCAACCAAACAUUGCAGACCACAAUAAACAACUGUUGAACUCAGUUGACUUAAGUCAUUCCACAUCAGAGCAAAAGGGCACUGCACGGCUGAAUUAGCACUGGCCGGGUUGUGCAAACUGCCUCAGGGGAGGAGGCCUGGGUUUUGACCGAGGUCGGGAUGAGCUGUAGCACACGAUUCACAGAAGGGGCCAGGAAAAACUAGAACAGCAAGGGAGGAUUCUCCCUGGAGCUUUGGAGGUAGCAUGGCCCUGCCAGCACUUCGAUUUGGGUUUCUAGCCUUCGGAACAGUAAGAGAAUAAGUUUCUGUUGUUUACGGCCGCCAAAGUUUGCAGUGAUUUGUUGCAGGAAUUCGAUGGAGAACCAAAUUAGAACCACACAUAUUUAGACAAUUGAUUUUCAACAAACGUGUAAUGUAAUUCAAUGAGAAAAUAAUAAUAUUUUCGAGCACGUCACUGGAAUAACUAGCUGGCCAAAUGAAAGAAAACCAACCUCAGCCUCUACCCCCACAGCACACACAAUAUCUGUGUGAAAUAAACCAUAGACAUAAAAGCUAAAUCUAUAAAACUUCCAGAAGAUAACAGAAGAAUGUAUGACCUUGUAGUAGGCAAAGAUUUAAGACACAAAAAGCACUGAACAUAAAAGAAAAAAAAUGAUAAAUUAGGAUUCAUAAAAAUUCAAAAUUUCUUCAAAAGACACUAUUAAGAAAGUAAGAAAACAAGAAGAAAAUCGUCACAGUAUAUAUGUCUGACAAACAGGCUACUACUAUCCUUGGUGCAAAAACUACUUUUAAUGGCAGAAGCCACAACUAUGUUUGCACCAAGCUAACAGAACCCUCAUGCCCUAAUGGCAAGAGUGUAAAAUGGUAUGGAGGUUUGGAAAACACUUCGGCAGUUCUUACAAAGUUAAAUAUGUACUUACCCUAUAACCCGGCCAUUAUAUUUCUCAGUAUUUAGUCCCUCACAAAAUGAAAACAUGCACACACACAUGCCAAGAAAAUGCUUAUACAAAAAUGUUUCUACCGGCCUUAUUCAUAAAAGACCAGAACUGAAAACAACCCCAAGUCCAUCAACAGAUGAACAGAUAAACAAAUUGUAGUAUAGCCAGCCAAUGGACUGCUCAGCAAUAAAAAGGAAUGAAUUACUGAUACACACAACAUUGAUCAAUUUCAAAAACACAUUACCCUUGGUGAAAAAAGCCAAUCAGGAAAGGGUAUGUGGCUGCAGUCCUGAGAAGUCUUGCAACAGGCAUGAUCCAUUUAUAGGGAUGGAAAUCAGAUCAAUGGUAGGCUGGAGUUGUCGAUAGGAGUGGAAUUGAUUGCGGAAGGGUGCAAGGGAAGCAUUUGGGAUACCUGAAAUGCUUUUGUCUUCAUUGAGGUGGUGGUUAUAUAGUGAACUCAUUUAUCGAAGCUCAUCGAUCUGUACACUAUAAUUUAUAUACAUGUAAAUCAUACCUCAAUAAAGUUGAUAAAAAACACAUUUUACCUCUGAGUUUUUUGUUUCCUUAGGGACUUUGUUAGUCCAUUCUCAUAUGGCUAUGAAGAAAUACCUGACACUGGGUAAUUUAUAAAGAAAAAGAGGUUUUGUUUUGUUUUGUUUUUGAGAUGGCAUCUCACUCUUGUUACCCAGGCUGGAGUUCAGUGGUAAAAUCUCGGUUCACUGCAGCCUCUGUCUCCCAGGUCCAAGUGAGUCUUGGGCUUCAGCCUCCUGAGUAGCUGGUAUUAUAUGUGUGUGCCUAUA
ensembl:lncRNA